GAUGAAGAACGUAGUGAAAUGCGAUAAGUAAUGUGAAUUGCAGAAUUCAGUGAAUCAUCGAAUCUUUGAACGCGCAUUGCGCCCGCCAGCACUCUGGCGGGCAUGCCUGUUCGAGCGUCAUUUCAACCAUCAAGCCCCCAGGGGCUUGUGCUGGGGCCCUGCGGCUGCCCGCAGGCCCUGAAAACCAGUGGCGGGCUCGCUAGUCACACCGAGCGCAGUAGCACAUCUCGCUCAGGGCGUGCGGCGGGCUCCUGCCGUGAAACCCCCCACUGUAACCCCAAAGGUUGACCUCGGAUCAGGUAGGAAUACCCGCUGAACUUAAGCAUAUCAAUAAGCGGAGGA
rnacentral:misc_RNA from 1 species